AUAAUUGAAUGUUAUAUGGAUAACCGUAGUAAUUCUAGAGCUAAUACAUGCUGUUAAACCUGACUUUUUGGAAAGGUUGUAUUUAUUAGAUAUUAAACCAACACCCGCAAGGGUGCUGAGAUGAAUCACAAUAACUGAUCGGAGCGAAGCUUGUCUUCGCUAAAUCAUUCAAGUUUCUGCCCUAUCACUUUGAUGGUAGUGUAUUGGACUACCAUGAGGAUAACGGGUACGAGGAAUUAGGGUUUGAUUUCGGAGAGGGAGCCUUAAAAACGGCUACCACUUCUAAGGAAGGCAGCAGGCGCGUAAAUUAACCAAUUCCAAUUCGGAGAGUUAGUGACAAGAAAUAAUAACUUGGGUGGUUUUACCAUUACGAGAUUAAAAUGAGAACAAUGUAAAUAUCUUAUCGAGGAACAAUGAGAGGACAAGUCUGGUGCCAGCACCCGCGGUAAUUCCAGCUCUUAUAGUGUAUAUUAAUGUUGUUGCAGUUAAAAAGCUCGUAGUCGAUCAUCUAAUCGUCGGCUGCCUGGUCUCUGAUCAAGCAGUUCGGCGGUUAUCAGUGCGAAAACUUCAUCUACCUUCACUGGUCGAUGAUGCUGAUCGUACGCUUUCCUGAGAAAAAAUUAGAGAGUUCAAAUCAAGCUAUUGCUUUGAAUAUUACAGCUUGGAAUAAUAGAAUAAGACUGAAGUCGCUUUUGUUGGUUAUGAGGCUUUAGUAAUGGUUAAUAGAAACAGAUGGGGGGUAUUAGUAUUUAAUUGUCAGAGGUGAAAUUCUUAGAUUUAUUAAAGACUAACUUAUGCGAAAGCAUUUACCAAUUAUGUUUUCAAUUGAUCAAGAACGAAAGUUAGGGGAUCAAAGACGAUCAGAUACCGUCCUAGUCUUAACUAUAAACGAUUCCGACUAUGGAUCGGAGGGAUUUCUUCAGUCCUUUCGGCACAUUAUGAGAAAUCAAAGUCUUUGGGUUCCGGGGGAAGUAUGGACACAAGUCUGAAACUUAAAGAAAUUGACGGAAGAGCACACMAGGUGUGGAGCCUGCGGCUUAAUUUGACUCAACACGGGGAAACUUACUAGGGCAAGACUAAAGUUGGAUUGACAGAAAUGAGAGCUCUUUCUUGAUU
rnacentral:rRNA from 1 species